rnacentral:tRNA from 1 species
GGCCUGAUGGCGUAGUUGGUUAUCGCAUCUGUCUAACACACAGAAGGUCUCAGGUUCGAGCCCUGGUCAAGUCA